rnacentral:rRNA from 1 species
AGCCUUCGGGGUGGAGCUCGUGGAACGAGCGGCGGACGGGUGAGUAACACGUGGGCAACCUACCUGUGAGACGGGGAUAACUCCGGGAAACCGGGGCUAAUACCGGAUAACGCAUCGAACCGCAUGGUUCGAUGAUCAAAGAUGGCUUCUCGCUAUCACUCACAGAUGGGCCCGCGGCGCAUUAGUUAGUUGGUGAGGUAAAGGCUCACCAAGGCGACGAUGCGUAGCCGACCUGAGAGGGUGAUCGGCCACACUGGGACUGAGACACGGCCCAGACUCCUACGGGAGGCAGCAGUAGGGAAUCAUCCGCAAUGGACGCAAGUCUGACGGUGCAACGCCGCGUGAGCGAUGAAGGUCUUCGGAUCGUAAAGCUCUGUUGUGAGGGAAGAACAAGUGCCGUUCGAAUAGGGCGGCACCUUGACGGUACCUCACCAGAAAGCCCCGGCUAACUACGUGCCAGCAGCCGCGGUAAUACGUAGGGGGCAAGCGUUGUCCGGAAUUAUUGGGCGUAAAGCGCGCGCAGGCGGUUCCUUAAGUCUGAUGUGAAAGGCCACAGCUCAACUGUGGAGGGCCAUUGGAAACUGGGGAACUUGAGGACAGAAGAGGAGAGCGGAAUUCCACGUGUAGCGGUGAAAUGCGUAGAUAUGUGGAGGAACACCAGUGGCGAAGGCGGCUCUCUGGUCUGUAACUGACGCUGAGGCGCGAAAGCAUGGGUAGCGAACAGGAUUAGAUACCCUGGUAGUUCCAUGCCGUAAACGUUGAGUGCUAGGUGUUAGGGGGUCCAACCCCUUAGUGCUGCAGUUUAACGCAAUAAGCACUUCCGCCUGGGGAGUACGGNCGCAAGGGCUUGAAANCUCAAAGGAAUUGACGGGGGGCCUGCACAAAGCGGGUGGAGCAUUGUGGUUUUAAUUNCGACGCCAACGNCGAANAAACCUUUACCAGGUNUUUGACAUCUUUCGGACCNGCCCAAAAANAAUUGGGUUCUUUCCNUUUCGGGGAACCGAANUGACAAGGUGGUGC